UUAAAUUGUCCUGACACCUCGUUGUAUGAAUUUAAAACAUUGCUACGUAUUUGUUUGCUGGAAGGAUCGAAACGAGAUUUCGACGUCAUUUGAAAAGGUUGUGACAUUUCAAGCAGAAAACGACGAGCAACAGACAACUAAAUAUCAAAACAAUUCUAAAAAUUCCUUGCUCAUUGAUAAAAUGUGCCAUACCGCAGUAUCUGUUGAAAGCGCUAAGUAUGAGAAAAAUUAAACCGAACCGUAAAAUCCAUUCAGGCAAUUUUUCACGUUUAUCUAAUCGAGCGUAACGCGAAUCAGCAAAUACCAUUAAACCAUAAUCGCUUUUUGAUCGAAUAAUACGGCCAACGCACUGGGCUGCCUGUGGAUUGAAUACUUGACGCAUAGCAUCAAAGUCUAAAAAUUCACUUUCUGAAAUUUGAUAAUUUUCCUAUAAGACUCAAAAAAUUAAAGUAUUAAACUUAUGCUUUAAUAGUUUUAAAACCGUUACCCGUAAAUAGUCCAAUCGUGCUUUUAACAAGCGUGAGAGGGUGUACUGAUAUGGAAUACCAAAAAGAACUACAGCUCGUCCAUAAUGUCGAUCAAAAUCAAUACCCUCUGCUACUUUGCCUCUAGAAACAAAAAAAAACAUGACUUUAUUAAAAAAACCACGAAAGAGU